CAAGUCUCAGGUCCGCAGCUGGAGGGGCCUUAACGAACCUUGCCCGUUCCUUCCUCUCCACCUUUUCUCUCCCCACUCCCCACCAGGACCCAGGCAACCGCUGAUCUGCUUUCCGUUACUACAGAUUAAGUUUUCGCUUUCUGGCGGUUCAUGGAUGUGCUUCCCCACAAAGACCUAAGGCCAGGUCGCUGCCCAGAUAUACUACUUGGACACGAGGUUAGCCUGGGAAAGCUCUCCGCAUGGCAGGAGCUGGUGUGUGGAUCUGUUUUCGACGCGACAGGCUGACCUGUCUGUGGUCCUAGCUGCGCCCGGAUUGCCUUGAUGACGGCCUGGGCUCACCCCACUUUCCGAGCGGAUGCGGUCCUUCCUCCUUGGGUCCAGACUGCUCUUCUGAUUCCUGAGGGCAUGGCUCAGCCUCGCUUAGUACCCGCUUGCUAAGGGCCUGCCCUGCGUCACUCUAUCUUUGGUACCAACAGUCGGCUCGCUACCAUGGGAUUUUUUUUUUCUUCCCCUCCUUUCCUUCAACUUGAAGAAAACCCCCUCCUGCUCAUUUUCCCUGCUGUCCUGCCCGUGUAAAUCCCUGUAAGGCUGGACAGAAUUCUCUCUCCCCUGUAACUUGGGAAAGGCAGGUGAACUGGUGUGUGGCAGGAUCUGGGAUCGCCAGAGGACACAAAAUACUCCUCGUAGAGGUGUCCCGGUAGCAGGUUUACGGUAGGUCAUCACCAGGAUCCUGUCACCCUGUCCACGUACGCGUGCACACGUGCGCAUAAACACGUCCAAAUAGCGAGAACUGUAACGCGCUCUAUAGUUGUUGUCUUAUUAUCAGGGAUGCUUUUGGUCCUCUCUUCACUUUGAUUGUCUUGAGCACGUCAGCGAGGUGGAAACAGAAGUGCAAGGACCGUGGGGCCACGUUUCCUCUGGCGGAGGGCCUGUGACCGCGGCCCAACCCUGUGACUGCGGCCCAACCCUGUGACCGCGGCCCAACCCUCACCGAGCGCAGGCCCUGCCUGGUAUUUUUCUUUCAUUAGGGACCAUUGACUUUCUGGAGGGAGGAGUGAUGUUUACCGCACACCUGGCGCAUGUCAGGGACCCUGAUAGCCGCUUUGGCUUCUAAAGAGCAGCUUCAAAGUCCUUGGGCUCCUUGUUUUCUCUGAAAAUGGUGCCUUUCUGGGUGGUUCUGAGGAAUCAGUGAAGCAAGCGUGGCACCGGGACUGGCGUUGCCGGCAGCCCGUGGCUGAUUCAUCCACCAGCG
rnacentral:lncRNA from 1 species